rnacentral:rRNA from 1 species
AACCAGCACCUCAAGUGGUCAGGAUGAUUAUUGGGCCUAAAGCAUCCGUAGCCGGCUCUGUAAGUUUUCGGUUAAAUCUGUACGCUCAACGUACAGGCUGCCGGGAAUACUGCAGAGCUAGGGAGUGGGAGAGGUAGACGGUACUCGGUAGGAAGGGGUGAAAUGUUGUAAUCCUACAGGGACCACCAGUGGCGAAGGCGUCUGAUCAUAACGGCUUUGACGGUGAGGAACGAAACCCUGGGGCGCAAACGGG